AUUGAACGCUGGCGGCAGGCCUAACACAUGCAAGUCGAGCGAGCGGCGGACGGGUGAGUAAUGUAUGGGGACUGCCCGAUAGAGGGGGAUAACUACUGGAAACGGUGGCUAAUACCGCAUACUAUCGGAUAACCCAUAUGGGAUUAGCUACGUGGUGGGGUAAAGGCUCACCUAGGCGUCGAUCCCUAGCGGGUCUGAGAGGAGGAUCAGCCACCCUGGGACUGAGACACGGCCCAGCCUCCUACGGAGGCAGCAGUGGGGAAUAUUGCACAAUGGGCGCAAGCCUGAUGCAGCCAUGCCGCGUGUAUGAAGAAGGCCUUCGGGUUGUAAAGUACUUUCAGCGGGGAGGCGUUACCCGCAGAAGAAGCACCGGCUAACUCCGUGCCAGCAGCCGCGGUAAUAC
rnacentral:rRNA from 1 species